rnacentral:rRNA from 1 species
GACGAACGCUGGCGGCGUGCUUAACACAUGCAAGUCGAACGGAAAGGCCCUGCUUGCAGGGUCCUCGGGUGGCGAACGGGUGAGUAACACGUGGGUGAUCUGCCCUGCACUUCGGGAUACGCCUGGGCCACUGGGUCUAAUACCGGAUAGGAGCCAUUUUUGGUGUGAUGGUUGGAGAGUUUUUUCGGUGUAGGGUGAGGUCGCGGCCUAUCCUCGUGUUGGUGGGGUAAUGGCCUACCAAGGCGGCGACGGGGAGCCGGCCCGAGCGGGUGGACGGCCACAUUCGGACUGAGAAACGGCCCAGACUCCUACGGGAGGUAGACGUGGGGAAGAAUGCACAAGGGGCGCAAGCCUGAUGCAGAUACGCCGCGUCGGGGAUGACGGCCCUCGGGUUGGAAAAGCCGGUCGCUAGGGACGGAGCGUUUUGUGACGGUACCUAGAUAAGAAGCACCGGCUAACUACGUG